rnacentral:rRNA from 1 species
GUGGGGAAUCUUCCGCAAUGGACGAAAGUCUGACGGAGCGACGCCGCGUGAGUGAAGAAGGCCUUCGGGUCGUAAAGCUCUGUCAUCGGGGACGAAUGGUCGAUGGAGUGGAAAGUCAUUGAAAUGACGGUACCCGAGAAGGAAGCCACGGCUAACUACGUGCCAGCAGCCGCGGUAAUACGUAGGUGGCAAGCGUUGUCCGGAAUUAUUGGGCGUAAAGCGCGCGCAGGUGGGAUCUUAAGUCUAUUUUGAAAGUUCGGAGCUUAACUCCGUGAUGGGAUAGAAACUGGGAUUCUUGAGUACCGGAGAGGAAAGCGGAAUUCCCCGUGUAGCGGUGAAAUGCGUAGAUAUGGGGAGGAACACCAGUGGCGAAGGCGGCUUUCUGGACGGUGUCUGACACUGAGGCGCGAAAGCCAGGGGAGCGAACGGGAUUAGAAACCCUUGUAGUCC